rnacentral:rRNA from 1 species
UACGUAGGGGGCAAGCGUUGUCCGGAUUUAUUGGGCGUAAAGAGCGUGUAGGCGGCCAGACAGGUCCGUUGUGAAAAACUCGAGGCUCAACCUCGAGACGCCGAUGGAAACCGUCUGGCUAGAGUCCGGAAGAGGAGAGUGGAAUUCCUGGUGUAGCGGUGAAAUGCGCAGAUAUCAGGAAGAACACCCGUGGCUAAGGCGGCUCUCUAGUACGGUACUGACGCUGAGACGCGAAAGCGUGGGGAGCGAACAGG